rnacentral:rRNA from 1 species
GACGAACGCUGGCGGCGUGCUUAACACAUGCAAGUCGAGCGGUAAGGCCCUUUCGGGGGUACACGAGCGGCGAACGGGUGAGUAACACGUGGGUGACCUGCCCUUAGCUCUGGGAUAAGCCUGGGAAACUGGGUCUAAUACCGGAUAUGACUCCAUGACGCAUGUUGUGGGGUGGAAAGCCUUGUGCGGCUAGGGAUGGGCCCGCGGCCUAUCAGCUUGUUGGUGGGGUGAUGGCCUACCAAGGCGACGACGGGUAGCCGGCCUGAGAGGCGACCGGCCACACUGGGACUGAGACACGGCCCAGACUCCUACGGGAGGCAGCAGUGGGGAAUCUUGCGCAAUGGGCGAAAGCCUGACGCAGCGACGCCGCGUGAGGGAUGACGGCCUCGGUGUAA